UGCCUAAUGGUCUUUUUUGGGUUUUAGGGGGCGGGGGGUCUUUUGUUUGUUUUGCGGUUUUGUUUUGUUUGACAAGAUCUCACUCUGUUGCCCACGCUGGAGCGCAGUGGUGCAAUCAUAGCUCACUGUAGCCUCGGCCUCCUGGGCUCAAGCAAUCCUCCCGCCUCAGCCUCCCAAGUAGCUGGGACUGUAGACGUGCACCACCAUGUCUGGCUAUUUAUUUUAUUUUAUUUUUCUGUAGAGAUGGGACUCUCGCUUUGUUGCCUAAGCUGGUCUCAAACUCCUGAGCUAAAAUGAUCCUCCUGCCUUGGGCUCUCAAAAUGCUGGGAUUACAAGCGUGAGCUACUGCACUGGCCAAGCCGUCUUGUUUCCUGUGCCAGCUUUUUAGAGGAGUUACAGUGGGUUACAGUGGUUCCUAAGCACCUUAUCCAGGAUGAAUAAGAAAAGUUGAAACUAGAAGCAGAUCCCUCUUUAUUGUGUACCUUGUAACAACCUGGCUUAUUUGUGAGACAUUCCAACAUAUCUUUAGAGAGAUUUACUGUCCUCUUUAAAGUUAUUUAGCAAACACACUCUCUCUCAAUAUUUGUUUUAGACUAAGUCAUAAGAAAUAGCUGAUAUUCAAUUGUUUUGACCUAUAAAAAUGAAGAUGUUAUAGGGCUUAGACUAUUGGUCUGUCAGUUAAUAUUGGAACUCCCAAUCAUUAAUGAUUACAUGUGAUGGUAACCUAAAUAGUCACAUGAUCCUUGACUAGGAACUAUCUCAGGGACGCUAGAAAGCCAGUUGAAGCAGACAUUUGUCUCUUCAGACUUCCACAGCCAAAAUCAAAGCAAAAACACAUUGGCAGACUUUGGUCAAAUACAAGCACAAACUGAUGUUCAGAGCAUUCUUAUAAAUAGUCAUGGUGAUAUUAGACUUCCUGGUCUUGUUCCUGCUUUUAAUGAGAGAGAGUACCUCUACUCUUUAGCCAUCAGAUAUCACUGACAAUUUGAAUAAAUGCCAUUUGUGUUUAAGUUUUCUAAGAAUUGUUAUUCCAAAUGGCAUUGAAAUGACUUUAUGAGCUUUAUAAUUUUUUUCUUUUUAGAUCCAUUGAUGUAGUAUGCUAACCUAUUUCUCUCUGAUUGAGCUAUUCUUGAAUUCCAGGAAUAACCCUACUUGGAUGUGGUGGAUAAUUUAUGAAGGUGCUAUUGUUUUGAAAUUGUAAUUCUUUUAAGGAUUUCUGCAGUUGUAUUCAAAAAUAAGAUUACUAUUCAAUUCAAGAGUUUUGUGUUUGUUAUUUAUUUGGCUUUUUGAAACAGAAUCAUUUCAUCUUCAUAAAAUGAAUUUGAUAAUUUCUUUCAUCUUGUUUUAUCCCACGGAACAAUUUAUCUGAAAGAAAUUACCUGCUUCUUGAAAAUGUGAAAGCUGUAAAGUUGCCCAGGUCCCAUGUGCAAAUUUGGGGAGG
rnacentral:lncRNA from 1 species